rnacentral:misc_RNA from 1 species
GUGAAAAACACAAAGAUAUUGUGUAAUCACGAGAAAUUAAAAAUGUAGGCUCAAAUCAGGUAUGAAAAUUGAUCAGAAUUUCGGAACCAAAAAAAAAAUUGAUCAGAAUUCAUUAUUUUUUCACUACAUGGAAAUUUUUCUGACGUCUGAUAAAUGAUAGGUUUUUGCCACUUAAAAAAAUGAAGAUGAAGAUUUAACAGGAAUUAAGAACUUGACUAUUUAAUAGGAAUUAAGAACUUGACUAUCUAAAGCCUUAA